rnacentral:rRNA from 1 species
UUAGUACGGCGAGUGAAGCGGUAAAAGCUCAAAUUUGAAAUCUGGUACUUUCAGUGCCCGAGUUGUAAUUUGUAGAAUUUGUCUUUGAUUAGGUCCUUGUCUAUGUUCCUUGGAACAGGACGUCAUAGAGGGUGAGAAUCCCGUUUGGCGAGGAUACCUUUUCUCUGUAAGACUUUUUCGAAGAGUCGAGUUGUUUGGGAAUGCAGCUCAAAGUGGGUGGUAAAUUCCAUCUAAAGCUAAAUAUUGGCGAGAGACCGAUAGCGAACAAGUACAGUGAUGGAAAGAUGAAAAGAACUUUGAAAAGAGAGUGAAAAAGUACGUGAAAUUGUUGAAAGGGAAGGGCAUUUGAUCAGACAUGGUGUUUUUUGCAUGCACUCGCCUCUCGUGGGCUUGGGCCUCUCAAAAAUUUCACUGGGCCAACAUCAAUUCUGGCAGCAGGAUAAAUCAUUAAGAAUGUAGCUACUUCGGUAGUGUUAUAGCUUUUUGGAAUACUGUUAGCCGGGAUUGAGGACUGCGCUUCGGCAAGGAUGUUGGCAUAAUGGUUAAAUGCCGCCCGUCUUGAAACA